AUCAGGAAAUCUGUUCAAAACCCUGAGCGGCCCGUUUAUUGAAGGAGUACGCACAAACUGCUGGUUCAGCUAUCAGGCAACGGUUAUUGCCUAAUCGCGAGUUAUUUUUAAAUCAAAAUAGAGGAUCAUUAGAGUAUAAUUGCUAUAAGGUCUACCACAAGGAAACACAGGAUUUAAUUAAAACAUUUUGACAAUUGAUCAACAAGUGAUAGUGUACAACUCAUCUAGAGGGUGAUAAAUAAUUUAUUAUGUUUCAGGCUGAAUUUGUAUGCGCCAACAAACCGCCUUAGAGAGAACAUAAGCUGUCCAGGCCAUUAUUAUCACAGCUCCCAAAUCUUGAAUAUGAUACAAAUAUUAAGCGACAUUUUCGCUCUUGAGUAUAAAGACAAAUUAACUUGUAAGGAAAUAUGGUAAAUAUUGCCUGCCGUAAUCUAAAAUGCAUAUUAUUUGUAUUAUAUCCUAUUGCAUAAAUAUUUAUUGAACAUCAUUAUAAUGUCUUCGAAUAAUUUCAUUAUGAUUUUUUUGUUAAUAAUAUUCCUAAAAUAAAAACAUGUCUAGUACCCAGAUUUUCGGCCUGUAAAAGAUCCAUUUGACAGUGGAACGAAACGUAGCAGUACAAUAUACUUGCUUGGUUUUAUUCUAGGAAUAUUACUAUUAAUGGUACCAAUCAUAAUAAGGGUACUUUGAAGAAAAUGUAAAAAAAAAAGGUUUGUUUGUAAUAAUUUUUUCCGUAUGUUUCUUAAAUUGCCACUGCAAAACAUCAGGCUUAAUUUAUUAAUGUUUGCCUGUAGUGGAUUAUUAUUUCUCUCUUUUGGAUUAUCCGUAUAUACCAUACUGUGUUAUAAAUCUCUAUGAAUCGACGUCACACCUCAUAGUUCGAUUAUUGUUUUGUGUUAAGAAUUAUAUAUAAACUUAGCAACAGCAAAGAUAUUCUCAAGAAUGUGUUAUUAUUUUUAAGUUAGCUAUCCGUGCUUCUUCUCUUUUUAUAUCUAAA